rnacentral:rRNA from 1 species
UACAGAGGUCUCAAGCGUUGUUCGGAUUCAUUGGGCGUAAAGGGCGCGUAGGCGGGUCAGCAAGCCCGGGGUGAAAUCUUUCGGCUUAACCGGAAAGUGCCUCGGGGACUGCUGGUCUUGAGGGAGGUAGGGGCACGCGGAACUUCGUGGUGGAGCGGUGAAAUGCGUUGAUAUCAGAAGGAACGCCGGUGGCGAAAGCGGCGUGCUGGAUCUCUUCUGACGCUGAGGCGCGAAAGCCAGGGGAGCAAACGGG